AAGAGAGUGAAGAACUAAAAGAAGCCGCUAACUAUAUUUUAAGGCGGUUAAAUUCCGUCUACUCUCUUA
rnacentral:tRNA from 1 species